GACGACGCUGGCGGCGUGGAUUAGGCAUGCAAGUCGAACGGUAUCAUCCUUUCGGGGGUGAGAGAGUGGCGAACUGGUGAGUAACACGUAGGUUAUCUACCCUCAAGACGGGGACAACCCAGGGAAACUUGGGCUAAUACCGGAUGUGAGCAACUUUUAGUUGUUUGAAAGGUGGCGUAAGCUGUCGCUUGGGGAUGAGCCUGCGUCCUAUUAGUUAGUUGGUGAGGUAACGGCUCACCUAGGCAAUGAUAGGUAGGCGGCCUUAACGGGAGGUCGCCCACACUGGGAUUGAGAUACGGCCCAGACUCCUACGGGAGGCAGCAGUCGAGAAUAGUCUACAAUGGUCGGAAGACUGAUAGUGCGACGCCGCGUGAACGAUGAAUCCCUUCGGGGUGUAAGGUUCUUUUAUAUGUGAGCAGUGCUUCUUAUAUUAACAGUAUGGGGAGAGAGAUAUUAGCAUAUGAAUAAGCAACGGCUAACUCCGUG
rnacentral:rRNA from 1 species